CCCAAGCAUACCUCAGAGAACUAUGCAACCGUGAUGGGGUGAGAGAACAGACUGACCUGACUCCUGUGUGUGCACCCUGUGUACAAACCUGUGGGGAUACGGCUUGACUGUCACACUCCUGUCAUGUACCCUAGGGGAAGCCGCUGUAGGAAGUAGACAGAGAAUUGAGAGGGAAUCAAGCAGUCCUCUCUCAUCACACUUUAAAGAACAGCUGAUAGAACGGGCUUGGUUUGCUUUAUUCUGAGCACCCCACGGACUCAACAGCCAGGCAGCUUCUCAACAAAGACCCCCCAGGCAUCACUGAACACUUUUGGAAUCUAUGAAGACGGCGUAUUCAAGCUGAGUACAUCUAGAGUAACCUCCAGCAGCCAGGAGAUAAACUCUUCAUGCAAUUGUUGAGAACGGAUGAAGAAAGAUGAGCCGGUGGACCCCGAUGGAGAAGUGAGCCCUAGUCAGAAUGCAGCUGACUAGCUAGGCCUUGCAUUCCCAACCUUCAGCACCGUAACAGAGAACGCCAGCAUUCCUGCAAAGGUGAGAUGGUAACACAAGGCUGGUGUGCCUGCCAUCCAGGGCCUCCACUCUGAACUCAACCGCAAAUGGUGGGGCUGAC
rnacentral:lncRNA from 1 species